CACACACACACACACACAGCCCGUCUCGCGCCUGAGGUCUCGCCCGCAGGCCGGUGGCGCGGGGUCAGCUGCUGCCUGCGGUCCAGGACAGGGUCGGUUCCGCCGCGCAGCGCCCAGGCCCAGCUCGUCCAGAGUCUGCGGACAGCGCACGUCCAGGCACUUUCCCACACAGGAUGGAGCCGGGCCACCCUCACAGCUCCUGCCCUGCAGACGCUGGCCUUGUGGAGGGAGGCAGGCAGCAGGGAGAGGCCAGCGUGUUCCCUGGGGAAGCUAGAGCAGAGUGUCUGAUGACAAGAGAUGGACCCGGGGGUGGAGAGUGGAGGGGCAGCCAUCAGAGCCACCUCUGAGUCCACCUGAUGGGCCCAUGUCUUCAUCCAGGGGGGAGCUGCACACACACCCUCCUCCCCUGUCUCCCAUCCCUGCCCCACCCCUUCAGCUGGGGCCUGCUCCGCCGUGUCUGCAUGGCCCCACCCACCCUGACCUCACCACCUGCUAGUGGGCCUUGCAGUUUCAGGGGGAGUGUACGUUUCAAGUAUACCCUGAUGGGGGAAUCUGGACCAGGGCUGUCCCCUGGGCCGUGAGUGCCGGGCGUGGAGAGCUGGUGUAGAUGACAUUUGUAGCUCCACAUGCCCUGGCCUGGGCGCCAAGGACAGCCGCAGAGAAGAAUGUGGGUGGACAGGCUCUGCUGCCCAUGAGAUGGUGCAGGGAUGGCCUGGGGGAUGCUUCCAGAUGAGAGACCACCCCACCCUACCCGUGGCUCCUAGGGAUGGCGACCCCGGAGGCGCGUGUGUUCAUGUGUGUGUGUGGUGUGUGUUUGUAUGGUAUGUAAUGUGUGAUAUGUGUAUGGGAUGUAUGUAUGGGGUGUGUUUAUGGUGUGUGUGGUGCGUGUAUAGUGUGUAUGGUGCGUGUAUAGUGCGUAUGGUGUGUAUGGUGUGUGGUGUGUAUGUGUAUGAUGUGUGUGAUGUAUGUGUGUGGGGUGCGUGUAUGGUGUGUGGUGUGUGUGUGUGUGUAUGAUGUAUGUGUGUGGUGUGGUGUGUGUAUGGUGUGUGGUGUGUGUGUGUCCGUGUGUGUUUGGUGUGGUGUAUGUGUGCAGGGUGUGGGUGUGUUUGUGUGUGUGUGAUGUGUGGUGUGCGUGUGUAUGAUGUGUGUGUGUGGUGUGUGUGUGUGCGUGUAUGUGUGUGGUGGGGUGUGUGUAUGGUGUGUGGUGUGUGUGCGUGUGUAUGAUGUAUGUGUGUGGUAUGUGUGUGGUGUGUGUGUUUAGUGUGUGGUGUAUGUGUGCAGGGUGUGGGUGUGUUUGUGAUGUGUGGUGUGCAUGUGUAUGGUGUGUGUGUGUGUGUGGUGUGUGUUGGGCCCAGGGCACGAGGAGGAAGCAGGGCUGCCCAGGGAAAUGCCACCCUGGAGAGGCCCCUGUCCCUCCCUCUCCGUCCUUCCCUGUGCCCCUCCGUCCCUCCCUGCCCGUCCUCCCCGUCCCCCUCCAUCCACCCCCAACCCGGCCCUCCUCCUGCGGCAGGCAGCCCAUCUUUUGUGCGGCCUCUGAGAAGCACAGGGAGGGCCCGGCGGGCGUGAACCCGCUGGCAGCCGGUGUGUGCACAGCCUUGGCCCGGGCCUCCCAGCCCCUGCAUCCCGAGCACCCGUGGGGCAGUUGGCAGCGUCCUGGCACGGCCUGGGAGAUUAAUUGGUGCUUUUAAUGACGGCUGGUCUGGCAGAGACAGAGUGACUACAGGCUGGGCCGGCGCAGGCUGUGAGCAGAGGCUGGGAAAGGCCCCGCCCCCGGACGGGUCUCCAGGGGAGAGGAGGGGUUCGCAGGACCCCUCUCAAGACCCCCUUCGGGAGUCAGCUUCUUGGCCACGCACACUUGGAGCUCUGGGCUGGGUUGCAGCUCCCUGUACUUCACUGUCUCGGGUGCUGGCAGUGCCAGCUGGGGCACGAGUUCCGGUUUGGGUCAAGGCUGGCCUGUUGGCUGGGGUGGCGUCUGCCUGAGAACUGGCCUUGUCUGUGCCUUAAGCUUCCUGGCGCUCACAGGGCAGUGGAAAACCACUCAGUGAGUCUUUCUUGGCACCUUGCAGGAGCAGUGCUUUCUGGGCCUCUGUAGCCAGAGCUGGCCCUGCUGCAGCUUACGUCUGCCUGCAGCCCAGACGUCCUCCUGGUCCUCCUGAUGCCCCCGACCUCCACGGAGGACGAGCAUUUCCAGCCCAGCCCUCCCCAUCUUCACCUCGCACUCCCCUGACACACUGGGAGCCUCCUGAUCCGUGAACCCGCGCUGGCGGGAGUAGCUACUGACCGCUGGGGACCCCUGCCCAGGCUGUUCGCAUGUGGAAAGGAUUCAGGGAGCAGGCGAUGCCCAAAGCGUGGAGACCAGCACUGCUCUCUCCCCAGUGACAGGUGCACGCCCAGAUCACGGAUGUGUCGGGAACAGCUGUGCUCCUGCUGCUCAGCGUCCGUCACUCCAGGCUGGGAGCGGGUCCCCAAGCUUCUGGCUGGGCCUAUCCGUCUCCACUCUCAGUGUGGGGGUGGGGGGCGCCAACAGCACGCAUUUGCUCUCUGCACUUCUCGUCUGAUAAUGGGCAGAGGGUCCUUCUGCAGCCCCAAAACAUCCCUAGGCAGGAGCCCUGGGGCCCCAAGCAGCCAGGGAGGUGAGCACCAAGGACCUCCCAGAGAGCGUCACCUUCCGUCGAGGGAGGCCCAGCCUGGGGGCGGUGUCUGAGACUUGGAAUCAACGCUUCCGUUGGUGGCAGUAAAUCCUGUCCCUAACCCUGCAGUACAGCUGUGCCGUGUACAGGAGGGUGCUGUCUGACGCCAGACACCUGGACUACAGAUCGCAGCCUGAUUCCUGGUCAUUGCUCCACUGAACCCCAGACCCCAGCCUCGUUCUGGGCCCUCAUCCCCUAGAUCCAGGGACCCCAGCCCCAUUUCAGCCCUUGGGCCCUUGUAGGAUGCGAGGCCCUGGGCCCCAGCCCCCAGCCCAUCCGUGGCCCAGGCACUGGGGGGCUGAGGUCCUCUGAGAAGGGACACAGGGCCUGGGGGGCUCUCUCAGCCCAUCAGCAGGAGAGGACUGACUCCAGAAAAAUCAGCGUUUGUACCCACUCAGGCUGCCAAGACCUGUGUCCGUCCUUCCAAGCUCAACCUUCAGAGUUCAUGAGGCCCCUUGCCCAGAAUGUCCACAGAGUUCAUGAGGCCCCUUGCCCGGAAUGUCCACAUUUGAAACCUCCCAACACCGAGCCCCAUUUCAAGUAUAACCAGGAGGGAAAAUGGUGCUUGAAAUAAGCAUGCCACAAAGGAAAACCUGCUUUCUCGAAAUGGGCCCUGGCCGCCCAGGCCCUGACCUCCCCGGCCAGGAUGGAACGUUCCAGAGACCCAUUAGUGCCAAAGGCAAAUGAAAACACACCCUGUGAAAAUGUC
ensembl:lncRNA CEROX1 cytoplasmic endogenous regulator of oxidative phosphorylation 1